rnacentral:rRNA from 1 species
AGCGAACGUUAGCGGCGCGCCUAACACAUGCAAGUCGCACGAGAAACGGAGCAAUCCGCGGUACAGUGGCGCACGGGUGAGUAACACGUGGAUGACCUUCCCUGGAGUGGUGGAUAACCUGCCGAAAGGCGGGCUAAUACAGCAUGGGACCACGACGCUUUGGCGAUGUGGUGAAAGCGGGCCUCUAUAUAUAAGCUCGCGCUCCGGGACGGGUCCGCGUCCCAUCAGCUAGUUGGUGAGGUAACGGCUCACCAAGGCAACGACGGGUAGCUGGUCUGAGAGGAUGGCCAGCCACACUGGAACUGAGACACGGUCCAGACUCCUACGGGAGGCAGCAGUGGGGAAUCUUGCGCAAUGGGCGAAAGCCUGACGCAGCGACGCCGCGUGGGCGAAGAAGGCCUUCGGGUUGUAAAGCCCUGUGGGGGAGAACGAACCGUACGGGGGCGAAUACCCUCCGUGCCUGACGGUACUCCUUUAGCAAGCAUCGGCUAACUCUGUG